rnacentral:rRNA from 1 species
GAGUUUGAUCCUGGCUCAGGACGAACGCAGGCGGCGUGCUUAACACAUGCAAGUCGAACGGUAAGGCCCCAGCUUGCUGGGGUACACGAGUGGCGAACGGGUGAGUAACACGUGGGUGACCUGCCCCGCACUUCGGGAUAAGCCUGGGAAACUGGGUCUAAUACCGGAUAGGACCGCACCGUGAGGGUGUGGUGGAAAGUUUUUCGGUGUGGGAUGGGCCCGCGGCCUAUCAGCUUGUUGGUGGGGUAAUGGCCUACCAAGGCGGCGACGGGUAGCCGGCCUGAGAGGGUGGACGGCCACAUUGGGACUGAGACACGGCCCAGACUCCUACGGGAGGCAGCAGUGGGGAAUAUUGCACAAUGGGCGGAAGCCUGAUGCAGCGACGCCGCGUGGGGGAUGACGGCCUUCGGGUUGUAAACUCCUUUCACCAUCGACGAAGGUUUUCUGACGGUAGAUGGAGAAGAAGCACCGGCUAACUACGUGCCAGCAGCCGCGGUAAUACGUAGGGUGCGAGCGUUGUCCGGAAUUACUGGGCGUAAAGAGCUCGUAGGUGGUUUGUCGCGUCGUCUGUGAAAUUCCGGGGGCUUACCUCCGGGCGUGCAAGCGAUACGGGCAUAACUUGAGUACUGUAGGGGAGACUGCAAUCCCUGGUGUACCGGUGACAUGCGCAGAUAUCAGGAGGAACACCGGUGGCGAAGGCGGGUCUCUGGGCAGUAACUGACGCUGAGGAGCGAAAGCAUGGGUAGCGAACAGGAUUAGAUACCCUGGUAGUCCAUGCCGUAAACGGUGGGCGCUAGGUGUAGGGGUCUUCCACGACUUCUGUGCCGUAGCUAACGCAUUAAGCGCCCCGCCUGGGGAGUACGGCCGCAAGGCUAAAACUCAAAGGAAUUGACGGGGGCCCGCACAAGCGGCGGAGCAUGUGGAUUAAUUCGAUGCAACGCGAAGAACCUUACCUGGGCUUGACAUAUACGGGACCGGGCCAGAGAUGGUCCUUCCCUUGUGGCUCGUAUACAGGUGGUGCAUGGUUGUCGUCAGCUCGUGUCGUGAGAUGUUGGGUUAAGUCCCGCAACGAGCGCAACCCUUGUCUUAUGUUGCCAGCACGUAAUGGUGGGGACUCGUGAGAAACUGCCGGGGUCAACUCGGAGGAAGGUGGGGAUGACGUCAAAUCAUCAUGCCCCUUAUGUCCAGGGCUUCACACAUGCUACAAUGGUCGGUACAGUGGGUUGCGAUGCCGUGAGGUGGAGCUAAUCCCUGAAAGCCGGUCUCAGUUCGGAUCGGGGUCUGCAACUCGACCCCGUGAAGUCGGAGUCGCUAGUAAUCGCAGAUCAGCAACGCUGCGGUGAAUACGUUCCCGGGCCUUGUACACACCGCCCGUC